rnacentral:lncRNA from 1 species
UACCUGUAUGACCCUACUGGAUAUGAAUGAGAAAGAAUAUAUUGAAAUUGAGAAAAUAAGAUUUACAUUAUGAAAUCAACUCUAAGGAAAGAAGUAGGCAGGAAACCUGUUGAAAGAAAAUGAAAGCAUUAUAUUUCAGCAAUUACUUAAAUCCUGCAAGAAGAUCAUGUUUGAUGGACACUGAAACUGGACAUUGUAGAAGAUGAAUUAUGAGAGUGAUUUAUGAAAGAAAGACAGUGGAGAAUUGCAAUCGAUGGAGACAUUCAAAGAAAAGACUUUGGCACUACAUCAAAAGAGAGUAGAAUAAGUAGUCUUUGCUUAUACAUUUUAAAUGAAAAUAAAUGUUUAUCAUACAUAUUUGCUGUUUUUUAAACUGUAAUUCAAUUACUAAGGCUGAAGGGAAGAAUGGAUGUUGGAUAAAGAACUUUCGAUUCUGUCAUUGUUAGUAUUAUUUGUGUGCGUAUGUGUGUGUGUGUGUGUGUGUGAAUGUUGAGCUUCUCAGCUUCAAUAGUUAGCAGGAAAAAGCACUGAAUCGUGAAGCAUAAACUACAAAUAUAGCAUCUGUAUGAUAUUCUCUUUAAAAAAUGGUAAAAUUCUAGGAAACAGUCUUUGGUGCUUGCUUUUUUAGAAUGAUUGGCAUGGGAUCUGAGUCUUAGUUUCAGCUUUUAUGACUGCUUUUUACUGCAUCAAAUAUUUGACCAGGCAAAGUACAUUUCAAUGAACAGCUUUACUCCCCUUUAAAAGAAUCUGAAAGUCCAGCUAAAACUCCUCAUCAAGUUAGCUGGGAUCAUGGUGUUCAUUUUGGAUGAGGCAAUGUACUAAUUCAUUCAGUCAGCUCGAUUUGACAUUUCUGGGUUAGGGUAUCUUCCUUAAAAGUUACACAAUAAGUUGGAAUUAAAGUGCUCUGCUUGCUUUUGAUAAGACUGAUCAAAAGAGUGAUAGGAGUAAUCACUACUUAGAAUCCUAUUUAAUAAGUAUUUUCCAUUUAUCUAACUCUAAGGAGAAUUUAGGCUAUUUGUCUAGUGAAAUCCAUUUGAUACCAGGAUUUGUUAUGGCCAUUCUACAAUCAGGUGUUCCUAAUGUAAUGAAUGAGAUAAAAAAUAAUUAAGCUAACAUUUAUAUGAUGCUUACUACUUCCAGAAACUGUUAUUAUGCAUUAUUAACUGACUUAAUCCUCCUUACCACUUUAGGGGGUAGAUACUAUUAUUAUUCCUUUUUUUUUCAGAUGACGAAACUAAAGCACAAAGAGAUUAAAGAACUUAUCCAAGGUCAUGCAGCUGGAAAGAAGUGGAUUUGGGAUUGUGAACAUCACAAUUUCACAAACUACAUUUCAUGAUGGGUAGAGCUAGUCAAACGUCUGAAAAUAAAGUUUGGUUUAAAGAUG